GCUCCGGUGGCUUAGUGGUUAGAGCGUCCGCCGCGGAUGCCGGAAGUUGUGGGAUCUAUCCCCGGUCGAUUCA